rnacentral:rRNA from 1 species
GAGGAUGAAGGGGAUGACGAGGAGGAGGUGGCCGAGAUAGGGGAGGAGGCAUUCGCCGCCGCUUCCCGCCCACACGCACGGUCGACAAACUACACGGAGGCGGAAGAUAUCCUCUUGGUUCAUGCUUGGGCAGCUGUGGGGAUGGAUGCAAGCACCGGCACCGAUCAAACCGGUAAACGGUAUUGGCAAAGGAUCGAGGACACCUAUUGUAGGACCAAGCCAAUGAAUAGUGGGUUCAUCUCUCGCACUUACCGGUCGCUUCAAGGCCGAUGGGAGUUGAUGAAGCCCGCUUGUGCUCGUUGGAGUGUGGCCAUGGACCAAGUGAGGGAUGCACCGCCUAGUGAAACCGUGGAGAGUGACUAUGAGACAAUUGCCGGCAUGAGGUACAAGGAGAUGGCCGCUUCCAAGGGAAAGCCAUUCCCACUUAAGCAUGCUUGGGCAAUUCUUCAAACCUUUGACAAGUGGAAGUUGAGGGAUCAAGAGACCGCACCCAAUAAGUCGACAAUGCUUACGAUGGAUGAUAGUGAAGAUGAGGGAAGGAACGAGCACAAGCCCGCUGGAACCAAGAAGGAUAAGCUAAGGGUGAAGAUGGAAGGAGAGGCGUCAAGCCUAAGGGAGAAGAUAGAGCACAUGAUGAAGGCAAGAGAGGAAUUGACAACAAAGACAUUGGAGACGAAGCUUCUUAUCACCGAGAAGAAGAAAGAGGUCAAGCUUCCACAAGUUGAAGCGAAGCGUGAAGAAGCAAAGCGCAAGGCCGACUUGGAGGAGAGGAUGAUCAAGCUCAAAGAGGCAAAGGUAUGGAAAGAACUCAUGGUGGAAGAGAAGGAGAACAUGAUGAUGUCCAAGAAGGACAUGGAUUAA